GGUAGACUGAGCCAUCUCUGAGGUGGUGUCUGGCUCUGCCUCCGUUGUGGGGCCAAACCCAAGGCCGGCCUGGAAACUUUGUGGUCAGGGGAGGGCUUUGGGAACCUGGACCUGAAGGAAGCUGGGCAAGCAAAGCUGCGUGAAAGGGCCAGCCUUGGAGGCGCAUGUGCAUGUGUGCAUGCGAGUGUGUGCAUGUGCGUGUGAGUGUGCAUGUGUGAGUGUGAAUGUGCAUGUGUGUGCAUGUGUGUGCAUGUGUACGUGUGUGUGUGUGCAUGUGUGUGAAUGCAUGCGUGCAUGCAUGUGUACGCGUGUGCACGUGAGUGUGAAUGCAUGUGUGCAUGCGUGUGCAUGGCGUGUGUGCAUGUGAGUGCAUGUGCACGUGUGUGUGCAUUUGCAUUGUGUGUUCAUGUUUGUGGGCACAUGUGUGUGUUUAUGUGCAUGUGUGGGGCUGCGGGUGAUCAGGGAGGAUUCAAAUUUGAGGGUCUCACGGCCUGGAGACCUCAGAAGCAAAGCUGGAGGAAGAGGAACCUGGUUAGGUGUUGGGAACACAAAGCCCCUUUAGAGCAGCCAGCUGGAUUGCAGGACGGUGUGGCCUUGGUCUGAGGGUGGCCCUAGGGCCUGAGGAACUCCAUGAGGCCUCCCAUCCCCUCCUUCUGCUCCUUCUCUCCCUCCUCUCCAGGUUGCUAAGAUUCAAAGGUCAGAGGCCAUGCACAGAUUCUGGUGGUGGAGGUGGUGCUGGGGUUAAGACCCCCAGUCUCCCCCAUUGUUUUCGAGGGUUGUGGGGGUCUGUUGCUGAGAGAGGGGACUGUUCCUCUGUAGUGAUAUUGAUAUGAGAGGCCACAUGAAUGUCUUUGAACAGGAGGACAAGGAGCCCCUUUGUCGGGGUCGUGGGAGGGAGGAAGGCGUCUUGGGGAGACCCAGCAGGUAUGACCUGAGUAUGUCAGAUCCAGCGGUGGCUUUUUUUUUUUAAUUAGAUCUCAAAUUUAAUUGUGAAUGUAAAAUUUCCAUUAAUUCUUGUCACAUUUUAUUCUUAACCAACUAUUAACUGCAGUUCUAGUCCAUAAACAGUUAUGACUGACGCACAC
rnacentral:lncRNA from 1 species